AUUGAACGCUGGCGGCAUGCCUUACACAUGCAAGUCGAACGGCAGCACGGGUGCUUGCCCCUGGUGGCGAGUGGCGAACGGGUGAGUAAUACAUCGGAACAUGUCCUGUAGUGGGGGAUAGCCCGGCGAAAGCCGGAUUAAUACCGCAUACGAUCUACGGAUGAAAGCGGGGGACCUUCGGGCCUCGCGCUAUAGGGUUGGCCGAUGGCUGAUUAGCUAGUUGGUGGGGUAAAGGCCUACCAAGGCGACGAUCAGUAGCUGGUCUGAGAGGACGACCAGCCACACUGGGACUGAGACACGGCCCAGACUCCUACGGGAGGCAGCAGUGGGGAAUUUUGGACAAUGCGCGAAAGCCUGAUCCAGCAAUGCCGCGUGUGUGAAGAAGGCCUUCGGGUUGUAAAGCACUUUUGUCCGGAAAGAAAUCCUUGGCCCUAAUACGGUCGGGGGAUGACGGUACCGGAAGAAUAAGCACCGGCUAACUACGUG
rnacentral:rRNA from 1 species